rnacentral:sRNA from 1 species
UGAAAGCCCCGGACUGCGGCUGUACGGCUGGCAGGCUAGCCUGCACAGACGUACAGACAUAGGACGGGCAAGAAGGUACGAGCACGGGGAAUGCCGAAAGGCAGGCCGAAAAGUGCGAGUACCGACUGCGGAUGGAGAAAGUGCGAAGCACGGAGCCAUCCGGCUUUCA